rnacentral:rRNA from 2 species
CGGGCGUUAAGUUGCAGGGUAUAGACCCGAAACCCGGUGAUCUAGCCAUGGGCAGGUUGAAGGUUGGGUAACACUAACUGGAGGACCGAACCGACUAAUGUUGAAAAAUUAGCGGAUGACCUGUGGCUGGGGGUGAAAGGCCAAUCAAACCGGGAGAUAGCUGGUUCUCCCCGAAAGCUAUUUAGGUAGCGCCUCGUGAAUUCAUCUCCGGGGGUAGAGCACUGUUUCGGCUAGGGGGCCAUCCCGGCUUACCAACCCGAUGCAAACUGCGAAUACCGGAGAAUGUUAUCACGGGAGACACACGGCGGGUGCUAACGUCCGUCGUGAAGAGGGAAACAACCCAGACCGCCAGCUAAGGUCCCAAAGUCAUGGUUAAGUGGGAAACGAUGUGGGAAGGCCCAGACAGCCAGGAUGUUGGCUUAGAAGCAGCCAUCAUUUAAAGAAAGCGUAAUAGCUCACUGGUCGAGUCGGCCUGCGCGGAAGAUGUAACGGGGCUAAACCAUGCACCGAAGCUGCGGCAGCGACACUGUGU